GGGAUGCCAGGAGGGGAGUAUCCCCCCGCGGCAGUGUCGUCAUCACGAGGUCCCAUGGCCUCCGGUGCUGCUGAUCGCAGGCCUCUCGGCCUGCGGUGGGAGAGACCUCCGGUGCUGAC
rnacentral:misc_RNA from 1 species